rnacentral:lncRNA from 1 species
CCAAGGUCUUGAGUCAUGCAGAAGACACCGAAUCACCCCGCUGCAGACAGACAGCCACCUGGUUCCACACUACAAAGACGCAAAGGACACCAGACCACCAGACCAAGGUCAGCAAUGCUCUGCCAUAAACCCAGCCACAGUGCACAUGCAAAGAUCUUGAAACACAGGACAGAGGAAAUCUUCAAAAAUGGAAAAGAAAAA